GACGAACGCGGCGGCGUGCUCUAAUACAUGCAAGUAGAACGCUGAAGGAGGAGCUUGCUUCUCGGGUGAGUUGCGAACGGGUGAGUAACGCGUAGGUAACCUGCCUGGUAGCGGGGGAUAACUAUUGGAAACGAUAGCUAAUACCCGCAUAAGAGUAGAUGUUGCAUGACAUUUGCUUAAAAGGUGCAAUUGCAUCACUACCAGAUGGACCUGCGUUGUAUUAGCUAGUUGGUGGGGUAACGGCUCACCAAGGCGACGAUACAUAGCCGACCUGAGAGGGUGAUCGGCCACACUGGGACUGAGACACGGCCCAGACUCCUACGGGAGGCAGCAGUAGGGAAUCUUCGGCAAUGGACGGAAGUCUGACCGAGCAACGCCGCGUGAGUGAAGAAGGUUUUCGGAUCGUAAAGCUCUGUUGUAAGAGAAGAACGAGUGUGAGAGUGGAAAGUUCACACUGUGACGGUAUCUUACCAGAAAGGGACGGCUAACUACGUGCCAGCAGCCGCGGUAAUACGUAGGUGGCAAGCGUUAUCCGGAUUUAUUGGGCGUAAAGAGAGUGCAGGCGGUUUUCUAAGUCUGAUGUGAAAGCCUUCGGCUUAACCGGAGAAGUGCAUCGGAAACUGGAUAACUUGAGUGCAGAAGAGGGUAGUGGAACUCCAUGUGUAGCGGUGGAAUGCGUAGAUAUAUGGAAGAACACCAGUGGCGAAGGCGGCUACCUGGUCUGCAACUGACGCUGAGACUCGAAAGCAUGGGUAGCGAACAGG
rnacentral:rRNA from 1 species